CCCCAGGUGCUCAGUCAGUGGUUCAGGCUGUGACUCAGGAAUUCCCCUACAGAUGCAUUUACACAUUCUGUUUUCUGAACACUGUCUUGCCUCCAAAAUGCAGUGUCCCUCCUUCUGCAAGGACAUUUCCUUGGAAUGGCAGCUGUGGCUGAACUGCCAAAGCUGACUGACAGCUGGUCCUAGCCUUGAACCAAAAGAACUGCUUCCAGGAAAAGCAUCCUGUUCUGAGAAAUCACAUUCCAAAGCUCAUGAAGAAUUGUGUGUGAGAAUCUCACACUGAGGCAUAUGACAUUUCUUGGCGUUACCGAUCUGUUUUCUGAAGUUCAACAUGUCCAAAAUCUUCCAUUUUAUGGAUUCAUUCUUUUACUGUAUUUGUGGAGGAAAGGAUGUUGCAGGAUGUGUGACAAGGACUUUGCCACUCCACUGGAUCAGAGGAAUCAAUCCUAGAGCUGUCUUAGAAUAGCUUGCUUGUCUGCAUUCAUCAUCUAUCUUUCAACAAUCAGCAGAAAAGAGAAGAAGCCGAGUAAUGCUGCUGGUUAGAAGUUUUCUUUACUGUUCAGUGAAAACAAGCACAUAGCCCAAAGCCAGCUGAGAGGUCUGAGAAGAGUGAAUACAGUCUGCAAAACUGUAGGUUCAAAAAAAAGAAAAGUGACAGCAUAAUUUUUACAGCCCUGAGAAGUAAUUUAAUAAAGGUAUUGUGUGUCUUGCAUGUCUUUUGUCUUUCUUUCAAUGAAGCUUCCCCAAGUACUUCACAAAUACUUUCUUUAGCUGGGGAAUUUGACACUAUUGUUUAAUACAAUGAUGUGCUUGCAACACUGGAAAGUAAUGUUUUUCUACAAGGAAGGGAUUUUUUUUGCAUGGCUGUGUUUUCACUUUUUGCUGUGAGUGAGGUGAUCUAUACCCAGGUCAAUGCUUUGGAAUGCUUUUAAAACAUGUUUAAAUAAAAAAAAAGAAAGAAAGAAACAAAACCCCAUCUUCUACAUUUCCUAUAUAGCAGAUCCCUUUUACUCCUUUGCAAAAUGCCAGGAGCCUAAACAAAAGGCUACCUAUAAACAGAACU